rnacentral:rRNA from 1 species
UACGUAGGUGGCAAGCGUUGUCCGGAAUUACUGGGUGUAAAGGGAGCGCAGGCGGGAAGCCAAGUCAGCUGUGAAAACUACGGGCUUAACUUGUAGACUGCAGUUGAAACUGGUUUUCUUGAGUGAAGUAGAGGUUGGCGGAAUUCCGAGUGUAGCGGUGAAAUGCGUAGAUAUUCGGAGGAACACCGGUGGCGAAGGCGGCCUGCUGGACUGUAACUGACACUGAGGCUCGAAAGCGUGGGGAGCAAACAGG